rnacentral:rRNA from 1 species
CCAGACUCCUACGGGAGGCAGCAGUGAGGAAUAUUGGUCAAUGGACGAGAGUCUGAACCAGCCAAGUAGCGUGAAGGAUGACUGCCCUAUGGGUUGUAAACUUCUUUUAUAAAGGAAUAAAACGAGGCACGUGUGCCUUUUUGCAUGUACUUUAUGAAUAAGGAUCGGCUAACUCCGUGCCAGCAGCCGCGGUAAUACGGAGGAUCCGAGCGUUAUCCGGAUUUAUUGGGUUUAAAGGGAGCGUAGGUGGAUUGUUAAGUCAGUUGUGAAAGUUUGCGGCUCAACCGUAAAAUUGCAGUUGAGACUGGCAGUCUUGAGUACAGUAGAGGUGGGCGGAAUUCGUGGUGUAGCGGUGAAAUGCUUAGAUAUCACGAAGAACUCCGAUUGCGAAGGCAGCAUACCGGCGCCCGACUGACGCUGAGGCACGAAAGCGUGGGGAUCGAACAGGAUUAGAUACCCGUGUA